AAUCAAACAACAUCAUAAAAAUACUAUCAGACACUAUCUCAUUUUCGGCCCGAAAAUGCUAUCUUAAGAUAACUAUCUUGCUAUUUUCUAUCAUGGCAAUCAAACGAACCUUUAGUGGAGAACUAAUCUGCUGCACAACUAAUAUGAGCGACUGUGGGCGCUUACAUGUCACAUAAGCCUGAUUUGAAGUUGUUUCCGUUUUUCAAUUCUGUUUUCUUUUCUCUUUCUUCUGCAUUAUUUUCUAAUCUUUUUUCUCUACCUUUUGCAAUUCUCUCCCCAUUAGUGAACCUCUUCAUUGCCAUGACAGUAGCCUCGUUCAAUAUUUUCCAAAAUUAAAUCUCACCUCACCGUUGCAUAUACUAAAACGCAUCACCCGAACCUCCCCUUCCACGUCAAAGUCCGCCUCACCGAGCUCCAAAUCGGCGAGGUCGAAUCGAAAAAAGGCAUACAGUUUUGCUCAGUUCUUUUUUCUCCAGAUCUAAUUCUCCUUCAAGUAACCCAGCAGUUCCAUUUUCAUGAUUUUUUUCUCUAAAUUGAAAUUCCACAACACAUCUCAGCUUUUGAUUUCUUGCUUCUCCUACAAUUUCAGAAAUCACAAAAUUGUAGAGCGAGAAAUGUAAAACCCCUCCCACUCUAUUUAUUCUCCUCAAAAUUUCAGAAAAAUUGCAAAAGCGGAUGAAGUUUGGGGAGAAAUUUUGGGAGUAUUGCAUGCCAAGAAGGAAGAAAUUUGGCAAGAACGAAUGAAAGAUUGAGACGAAGAGAGAAGACCCAGUACAAAAUUCCAUUUGCAGUGGUCGGCGCAACUGGAAAAAAAAAAAGUUUUUCGCCGAAUAUUGAACAUAACUCGGCUAGAUAAACUUAGUGAUGUAGUGGGUACUUGGUAGAGAUGAAGUGCAUUAUAGUAGACAGUGAAUAUUAAGGAUAAUUAAUUAAAAUAAUAGUAAGAAAAUUAAUUAUUCCACUGCCAUGUAAGUGGCCGCCUAUCUAUCGCUCACAUGGUGGCGUUCAAGAGAUCAAAUCUCCACAUGGAGUAUAGUAACCCGCAUACUAAUCCUAUCUAUGUUCAUAUCCGACA